GCCUGUCACGGCCGCUCCGUGCGGUCCCUGUGCCCGCCGGUCUCUUCAGUCGGGAUCUGGGUCGUUUUCCUGGCUUCCUGAAUCCAGUGAGGACUUGCGGGCUGGUCAGCAUGUAGAGUUUGAAGCCAUUCCCCUUUGUCCUAUCACUACAGUUCCUGAUGAAGAGUCCCUCUACAUCUUCCUUGGAGGUGCCCUGCAGAUACUGGAAGAUUGCUAUGAAGUCUCCACACAACCUUCUCCAGGCUGAACAGCCCCAGCUUUCUCAGCCUGUCUUCGUAGGGGAGGUGAUCUGGUUCCAAUCAUGCUGAUAAAUGGCUGAAAAUCUUUUUUGCAAGGUGAUGUCAUACCUAGAACUCUGUAUUUGAGUGAGUUUGACAACUAGUCAAAAUCAUGACAAAAUAUGAAUUCUUACUAAGUCCUGUCAAGAUAGUUGUGAUCUAUUAAAACUGAUGUUACAAAUUAUCUUUUUUUGUGAAAUGCAUUGCAUUUGUAAUGCUGUAAAAAUAAAUCAGAAAUUUGACGCGUGUGGGGAGGCAAGGGGUGACAAGCACAAGAAAUUGGGUGAGGAGGAAAGCUGAGCUGUUUAAGGGUUUUCCUUUGCUCAAGAGACCUUCCGCAGCUGGAAGGUUUAAGUCUAGAAGAAAUAAUGUGGGAAGCAGCAACAUUCUGUUUUUCCCUCUGGCUGUUUUUGCCAAAAAAGAUUUAGUUUCUAUCAAGAGAAAUAAUUACAAGUUAUGUAAAACUUCAAAGCAUUCUUUCCCAUUGACUGAGGGGAGGGGAAACAAUAAGAGAAAGAGAAAACUGUAAAAACCAGCCUAGAGGGUAUUCUGCAUAUGUGUUGGGCCUUUGACACAUAAGGCAGGAGCCCAGCUCUGCGGGAUGUGUGUGUUCUCUCCCACCUGGCUGUGAGUUCUCACAGUCUGUUCUAGCAUUUCUGAAUUUGGAAAUUAACUGUCUUCAAUGCUGGAGCUAAUGGCUUAGUUCUCUGGUUGCCUGCGUGCAUAUCAAAUCAUACAUGUGAUAUACAAUCUUUGUUAAAGAAAGAAAAAAGCAGUCAAGGAACAGUCAGGAACAGAACCAUACAAAGUUGCUAUCAGAGGCAUUUUGCUGCAGAAAACAUUUUUUACCUCAGAAACUGACUAAUAAGGGUAAACACCACCCCCUUUCCUAAACUGAAGAUUUUUACUGCCUGGCUAAGUUCUCUCUAGCACUCUGCCCUAGCCAAGAUGCAAUGUAAAUAAUUAUAUUUUAACGAGGAUCUUAGCAUAAAAGAUACAAAAGUGAUUUCUUAAACAGAUAGGAAAAAAUGGUUUAUUAAAAUAAGAGGGGGAUAUUUUCAGACAGCAAAAGAACAUCCCAUGGUGUCUGGCUAGACAGUGUUUGGGAAGAGCAGCCCCUGGAGAAUUUCAAAGGGCUUGUUUGAAGGCUUGCAUCUCAGUUCACUGUACAUUGAGAAAAAGAUGCAAAAACUAUUCAAGGGUUGAGCACAAAGGAUAACGGUUUCCUCUUCCGAUUGCUUGGCCAAGAGCUCUGUUCACAGUGCUUAACUUGCUGUCCCAGAUCCGAUGGCAUGAGAGUAAUGAACAACUCAGACCACCUACUAUUCAGGCAUGCCAGACACAGACUCCAUAUGCGGUGUAUCCUGAAGUAUAGGGCUGUCACGUACAGUAGGCAGUUGAAACAUGAAGCCAAGUCUGCAUGUGGAGAGUGCUGAAGAACGUUGCUAGGAGGCCUAAUGUUCUUCAUUGCCAGUCCGCAGAGCCAUCUAAAUCUGAUGUUUCACUCCCAGACAAAGGAAUUUCUUCCUUUUAGGUAAGAAUAUUUUCUUGGUUGAAUGAGAAAAAGAUUAAUAUGUAUUUUUCUUUUUAAAGGCAAUCUGUUAAGCAACCACUGUCUGACUUCAGUUUGGGCCAAGUGCUUUCAUCUGGAAGGUGUCCAAAUCAGAGAUCAUCUUUCACAUCCAUUUCAAUAUCUGUGGCAUCGGUUCAACCAGUGUCUUAGCAUUCUGCAGCCUUUGUUGUUGGGUUGUAAAGAAGCUACCAAAAACCUAACAAAGAGCCUAUGUCUGUAUGUAAUAUUCUAGUCCAAUCAGCUUUAACCCAAGUUUGAGAUUAGGACUCAUUGUUUUCACAAUAAUAAUGUCUUAUGAUUUUUUUCUAUUUUAAGAGGUUCUCACUCAUAUACCCUGAGCAACUCCAAAGGUGGUAUAGUUGUGUUCCAUCAGGAGAAUAAAAAUCCUCAAAAGUGAGUGAAGAGGAUAAUUGUUGCUUUUUUUCAAAUAAUUUUCUCUAAAUCAGUUGAUGUGCUUGCAAGGCAAUAUGAAUCAUUCUAUUUAAAAAUAAACAGAACUGGUGAAAUCCCUGGAUCAUUCUCUCUUUUCCUCGAAUAAAAGAGUGUACUCUCUCACAAGUUUCCUCACACUACUCCUUAGCAGCAGUGGUUUGAUACUGCUCUGAGGGUGACAGAUGGGCUUGGGGGAAAUGUGUUAGCCAGGAAAGGACUUUCAUUCUCCACCCUGUCUCAUUUAGUGUUUAUGUGUUCUUUCAAGGAGAAAUAAUGGGACUUAGUGGAACCUUUGCAAACAAUAAACAGACAAGGCACAAUUUUACUGAUACCAAGCUGUGACAGAUAAAGGCAUAGCAUGUAACUUUUUUAGUAUGUGGCCAACACAGACAGUCAAGGUAGGUGGAGUUUAGUUCAUCAGGGAUUAUGUUUAUAGGCCAGAGGAAAGAGUUAAUGGCUGUGAUUACAUGAGGAGGAUUGGGGGUUUGGUGGUUUUUUUUGUGUGUGACAUGGGUGUUUUUCCGAUCGUGUUUUCCUCAUUCAGGCAGGUAUUUUCAUGAACUAUGAAAGCAUCCAUUUAGAGGGAGGCAGGAUCAUCUAUGGUAGUGCUAGAUAAGAUGGGAUAAAUUACAUAGGAUCAGAGCCCAAAGCAUCUGAGCAGAGGGCAGUACUCCAUGCCUUUGCUCAGUAGGGGAUGAACACAGCUGUUUUCUGGACCAAAGGGAGUCUGGGGUUGAGCAAUGAAGACCUCUCUGCCUUUAUAUGAUUCUGUUACACAGCUCUUAGUGCUGCAGGUGGUAGAAGGACAAGAAGAGCGAGAUGGAAGGGGUUCAGCUUCCUUCCUUGCCUCGUCUCCUUCAUGAUCUGUAUAUCCAUAAGCAGACUUGUCUAUAUGUUAAAUGUGUUAAUGGCACGUUCUGUGGGGGUGCAGAGAAGCAGAGUGUCAUGUCUACUGGGUUUCAUACAGGUGGUAACCAACUUCAGUGGUUUGCCACAGCCCAGCCUCCGAAUGUUCACAGAGUGGUCAGAAAAAAUGACCUGUAAAUCCCUAAUUUCAGAAUGGCCUUAUGUGGUGGAAUGCCCACCAAGCUGCCCCACCAUCACACUCCCUCACUACCCCAUUCCCUC